CCUGACUCCAUCUCUUGGCUGAUAACUAAAGUCUGUCAUCAUAGCAGCAGACCUUUUAUUCAAGACUGGGUUUUGCCCUUGGGGGGCUGUCGUGGGUGUGUGUGUGUGUGUGUGAGCAGGUAAGGGGUGUGUGUGUGUGUGUGUGUGUGUACAGGAGCAGGUAAGGGGGGGACCAGCCAGGACCUAGGGCAUCCCAGAAAGGCCCAGGGGCGUGACAGCAGCCAGGGAUGGGGCAAACUUCUCCAUGCCCAGCAGUCCAAGACCACCAAUCAGCAUCCCAUAGCCCUGAUCUGCUUUCAUGAUCCCCAGAAAUUCAGAAAACAGGCCUCCUGCCCAAUGCAAUUAAUAAGUUUGACCACGUCUGUUUGCAGUGGUGAGGAGGCUGGUGGGGUGGUCAAGUUAGCAAAGUCAGUGUGAGUUCCUUGGUGGCCAGUAAUGAAUCUGAUAAUCAAAGGUUUAAAUUGUAGCCCCUUCUCACCUGGGCUGCAAGGGAGGUGGCAGGCAUUGGGAGGUUAAUUUAAGGGCCCUGCGGAGAGCUUAUCCUUGACUGUGGGGCUGGCCCUUUGGUCAUAUGGCUUCCCAUCCUCUUCUGAACACUGGCUCUGGGUUGAUUGGGGAGGGGUGUGGUCCAGGGCCAAUGUAAACCUAGCCCCAUCCUACAGGCAACCCCACCUUCCUUUAGAGGGGAGAUAGGCAGAGAAGCAGAUGAUCAUUUAUGCCAGGCUGGGUGCUGGGAAGGAGGAGACUGGGCAGCGGUGCCCAAGGAGACAUAAUGGAGACAGGGGGUUGCUCCUCCGUCCACCAGGUAGCUCAAUUUGACCCUCCUGAGAUAGCCUUUCGUAGGCUCCCUGCUCCUGGCUCACCCACCAGAGGGACCCAAGCUGACUUCCAGUCUUCUCAGCAUGAAACACCCUCAGGGGUCCCCAGCACCCGUAGGAUGAGGAUCAGACAUGAUCAUCAUCCAGCCCAUGCCCAGGGCCUUCUGUCUGCUGGCUGACCCUGGACCCAUUCCUGAUCGCCACAUCCCCAGUGCCCUGAGUGGUGGGUGGCAUGGCAGAAGGCAAGGCUCCUGCAGUGGAUUUGCUGCCACUUGGGAGGACAGGGAAGAGAAUAAAAGGAGUCAGGGCUGCCUUCAGGUAUGGGGAGAGGACUGGUCUUAUGAGAUGUGAGGGGGAAAGUGAGGCUGUGGAUUUAGGAAGGGUAAUCAGAGAGCAGCUAGGCACUAUAGGUCUGUGCUGCCCUGAGACAGAGGCCCAGGAAUGAUGUGCUGCCCUGAGUCAGGGAGGCUUGGAUGUGAACAUGGGCAUCCUUGGCAGAGAAAUGGGGUGACUGCAGAGUGAGUGCACACAUAGAAGGGGAGAUGCUAAUAUUAGAGGACUGGGGAGAUGAGAAGCACCCCACUGGCACAGGACAGCCAGUGGGGACGGGUGAAGGUGGUGUUUGUAGGAGGAGGGAGGCAUUGGCCAUGCCACUUGCUGCAGGGGCCCAGGUCAAGUGAGGACUGAGAAGAGACUAGCAAGAACCAGUCCGAUGGGCAUUGGUCUUGGCAAGCAAGUAGUGAGGACACAGAGGUAGCAAGUUCAGAUAGCAGUUCCGUAGAGCAGAGAAUAGGGGUAGUACCUGGAGAGUGAAGUGAGGGUUGUUUUUACUAUGGGGAAAGUAACCUCAUUUUCAUAUGCUGGUGGGAAUGAUCUGGAAGACAGGGAGACAUUGAUGGUUCAGGAACCAGAGGGGACUAGCUAUAAUUUUGCCUAGAGCUGGCAGAGGGCAGGCAGGCCCAGGUGGAGGGAUGCUCAGCAAGCUGUCUGUAGUAACAGGCAGCAUUGCCAGGUGUCAGGGCAGAUGCUGGUAGGUGGGUAACGUGGCAGUGGCAUCUGUGGAAGUUCCCUUUGGAUGUUUUCAUUUUCUCAGAGGAAAAGGAAGCAAGGUCAGCCGCUGUGAGUGGGGAUGGGGAGGAGGUGUUGGGAGGUGGAGAAGCAGCAAGUAGGUGUGAAGUCACUUUCCAGGCAAGUUGGGAAGGAAGGGAACAGGGAUGUGGUGAGAUUCCUGGAGGAGCAGAAAUUGAGGCCCAUCCACUCAGCAUGCAUUUUCCUGUUGUAUAUGAUAGGUGGCCCUAAGCAGGGUGGGAUUUUGCCCCAUUAGUACAAUAGAGAGAUGGGAAUGCAUUCAUUGGCUUCCAAGUGAGGACAAGCGAAGGGCUGUGAGCAUUGGCAGCAUCGAUAGAAUGAGGGGGCAUCAGAGGGCAUAAGCUGGAAAGAGAGUUAGGUGUCGGAAGUGGGAUUAUGGCAGGGGUCUGGCCCUGAGGAAGGCACAGUGGGCAAUAAAGUUGGUCUGGGAGCUGGGCCUGAUUCCUGUCCCCCACCUCCAGCACAGCAGGCCCUCCUCUUUGGUCUGCCAUAGUUUCAGCAAGUGUUGGUUGUGUACUGUGUGUGCCAGGCUCAGUGCUGGGGCCCCAUAUUCCUCAUGCUCCUGAGCCCUACUCCCAGGGCUCUGGAGCCAAUGCAUCACCUGUUCAUCUCCUCUCUGUAGACCCUUUACUGGAGCAGGAGGGUGAGGCCUGGGUUUGGCCUGCCCUGACUCAGGUAUGAUAUUUGAGUCAUAUGGCUACUCAGGGCUCAGGUUCUACAUCUGAAAUCCAGGUGGGAUGCAGAACAGUGGGAACACUGGUGGGCCCUGACUUGCAGAGAGUAGGCAUGGAGGGAUGCCCAGGGAUGAUAGCCUGCUGUCCUAGGUGCCUCUGCCCCACCCACCCUCCUCGUACCCCCAGCUAUUUAUCUCUCUUCCCCUCUGGAAGUCAUAGUCCUUGGGCCUUCUCCUAAUGAGCCUGUUGGCAGCUCAGAGCUAGCUGUGCUCUACUGAGGCUCAGGCUUGCUAGAGGCCAUGGACAUGUCCAGCACAUGGCCAGUUGGCCCUGCUUUGUUGCCAGUCUUGUUUCUGGCACUGGGACCCUGAGGAAGAGGAGCAGACACAGCCCCUGUACUCAGGGACAACCCUCUGCAUUGUAGGACCAGGGCAGGGAUAGAAAAGAAGCUGGCUCCUGGCCCAGUGAGAGGGAGUUUAGGGAGGCCUUCCUGGAGAAGGUGAACAGAGUGACAGGGAAGGGCAUAUUUUAAACAGGCAGCACAGUGUGCGCCUUGGUCCAGGGUGACUCUGCCACAGCCUUGUCUACCUGCCAGGGUUGGCCUGUGUUGCCCUGGCCCUGGCCACACCCUGGGUCUGCCCACUCACUGAGGUGGGCAGGACAUGAAGUGCCAUCUGCCAGCACAUGUUCCUGCCGUGGCAGAGUAAGGGGACAGGAGAAGAUGAGCAAGCUGGCUUCUCCUAAACCCCAGUCAGCAGAGCCAACUAUUGAAAUGUUUCCAGCUGUAUCUCCUGACUCUCAUCUAGGCAGGAGGGAGCAGAGGCACCAAGGGGAUGGGCAAGAGACAGAAGGGGGCCCUUGAUGCUGGGUGGAAAGGAGUUAACCUAGAGCUGGAGGGAGCAAGUGAGAUCCUUGCAGAGGGGACACAGGGACAAAGUCACUGGGAUGAGAAACUGCCCGUAGCAGGUAAAGGACGAGUAGCAAUUUGGCUUUGCUGAAGCAUGACUGUGGAGCCAGGCUGGGAGCAGAAGGCCAGGGAAGACAGAGGCUGUGCCCACAGAUCACAGAUCAUGAGACACAGGCUAGAGUGGCUCUUGGGCCUUUGGCUGACCAUGGGACAGUGAUGCCCUCAACCUUGCCCCACCUGUCAUCAUAAUAAGGAACUGGCAGGGCACUCUGGAAGGAUGGGAGCUGCUGGCCUCCAGGGUGCCUCUCUGUCCCCCAGAAACCUCACUAGCACUCUCUGAGCCCCCAGCUUCUGUGUCCCUAGUAUACCAUGGAGCCGGGAAGGGUUUCCACCUGGAACUCAUAUGAGCUUCCUCCCCCAGGCCCAGCAGGCCCCAGGGCACACCCUGAAUGUCCCAAUCUCCACCCUCAACCCCAAUGACCUCGUCCCCACAGCCCUCGAAGCCACUUCCUGGGGGAGGAAGGUGGACAUCUGCUGACAGUGCUGUUCCCCAGCUGCCCUCUAGGAUGCAAGGCUGCUAUGGAUAAACAGAACAUGCUUCUGGCUUCUGUUGAGGUCCAGAGAGACACACAGGGCCCAGUUAGCACCUCUCCUCCAUGUGAGGACACCCAUGUCCACAAAUGUAGCCUGGGAUGACCAAGGCCAGUCUCAGGGCAGUUCAGCCUUGAUGGCCCAAGCCAACCCUCUGUCCAUCUAUCUGCCCAGUGGCCACUAGGCCCUUCUGCCAGCAGGAGCAGGAGGGUGGCACCCUGUCUGCAGUUGGGGGUGACACCAAGACUGGUCAUCCCUGUGGCUUACAUGGCUCUGCAAUCUCCCUCUGGGGCAAUAGUUGGCUCUGCUGACUGGGGUUUAGGGGAAGCCAAGUGGGAAGCAGUUAAUUCCCUUUUCUGCUGUCUCACAGAGCAUGUCUACUCUCCUUUCAAAAUACUUUGGCAAGUGCAGCUCUCCUACAGCAGGCACAGUGCUGGCACCAGUAGAGGGACCACUUACAGGGGUGCCAAGGAGGGGGAUAGCAGCCUUAGGAAGGCCUAAAAUACCUGGGUUUUGUCUCUUCUUCACCAAGACUUGCUCUGCAAUCUUGGGCCUUUUGCUUAAACUCCCUGGGCCACAGUUUUUUCAACUGUAAGCUGGGAAUGGGAAUUUCCAUCCACAUGUGGUUACCUGGCUCAAAACAAUUUCAGUAAUGCUUAAUAAAUGCCCCAAGGAACCAGAGUCAGAGCCCAGUGAAGUCACAGCUCUGCCCCCAACAGGCUGUGUCUCUGAAAGUUCUGCCCCUUCCCUGGGCCUCAGUUUCCCUGUGGUUCCAAGUCUCCUUUCUACUCUGAGCUGUCACUCUACUGGAACCUCACCUUCCAUGAGUGCCCCCUGGUCCUGUAGGGGUGGGGACUCAUUGACAAGGGCUGGGAAGGGGGAGCCCAUGGGAAUUGGUGGCUUCGCUCAAGCCACUGACGACAGGCCAGUUGUUUCCAGCUGCUGUUGAAGGAAGCCCCAACUUGCCCUGUUCUCUGCUCAGGCAGAAGCACUGGGGACAUUUCCUGAGAGUGGAUGCUGGGACCAGAAUUACAAAGUCCAAUUCAACCAGAGGCCAAACCACUGCCCCAUCCCACCACCCCGUCAGCCCCACAGUAUUUUGGGGCCCCAGCUCCUGCUUGUCUCUGCAGAUCAGCUCAGGAAAUUGGGACACAGGUCCCAUUUUACAGAUGAGGAAACCGAGGCUCAUAGAAGCAGAGAUCAACAGAGAAGCUCAGAGAAGGUCCCAUUUUACAGAUGAGGAAACCGAGGCUCAGAGAAGCAGGGCUCACAACCCAGGCCAAGAGCUUUCCCUCAGCCCAAAAAAUCCAUGGUUAUGGUGAUUCUCUCUCAUGCUCUCUCUCUUUUUUUUUUUUUUGUACCCAAAUUUGAUCCUUAGUACAUUUUUCUGAUUUUUCAUCUUCACUGUAAAAAAUAUGACAAAUCCAGAAAAGUAUAAAGAAAAAAUUUAAAUUACCCAGUAUCCCACCACUCAGACAUAACAAUGUUAAAGAAAUUAACAUUUCUUUGCUUCUAUUAUUGUUUGUGGCUAUCUGUAUGCAGUUUUUUUUUUUUAAAUAGGAUUAUAUAGCUCUUUCUCUUAACACACUCAUCCGCCCGUGUCUUUAAGCAUUCUUCGGAAGCCAGGUUUCUAGUGCAGCAUCAGAACCUUUAUUGAUGGUAUGAGCCCCUCUCAGCAGAGAUCAGAGCUCUGGCUUUGACCCCAGGACCAGCAAAACAGCCUGAGCCUCACCACAUACAAGUCUCUGCCAGUCCUUUGGCUGGUCCCCUAAGAGACUCCAGGAAGGGGACAACCAAGCAGACACAUGUCUAAGGCUCCUCCAGCAGGGCAGUACCAUAACAGAGCCAGGCCAGACCUAUGUCCUGCCUCAUAUCCAUCUACUGUCCCAGAGGUCCCAGGAGAGGAUGAAGUGGGCCCUGGGCUCCUAACACUCACCGUGUCCCACAGCCUAGUGGAUAUUCCCAACUACCUCUCCAUACAUCAGCCAUUGUGGCUUUCCAGCAAAGAUGAAGGGGAGAGGGGCUGGCAGAGACUUGCUGUCCCUCUAUCCUCCUGACCACUGAGCUCUGCACACCAGGACCAGUCACUAGACAGGAACACAGUG